AUUAUCUCAAGUUUCAUAGCUGCUAUAUAAGUGAAAAAGUGCAAAACAGUGAGUUUACUGUUUGAUGAUUGUAGGUCGGACAACUAAGAGAAGUUUCUAACAAGGCGCACAAUGCAGAACUAAAGUUGUUCUUGGAAGUAGAGCGUGGUCUGGAUUUACGUCCUGUUCCUCCACCUGAUAAAUCAAAAGAAGACAUUCUGCUUUUCUUCAAGCUUUAUGACCCGGAGAAAGCAGAACUACGGUAUGUUGGUAGACUUAUGGUGAAAAGUUCUAGCAAGCCCCUAGAAGUUGUAGGAAAGCUAAAUCAAAUGGCUGGUUUUGAUACUGAUGAAGAAAUAGAACUUUAUGAGGAAAUAAAGUUUGAACCUUGUGUGAUGUGUGAACACCUGGAUAAAAGGACGUCAUUCCGGCUAAGUCAGAUUGAAGAUGGGGACAUUAUCUGCUUUCAGAAAUCUCCUCCACCUGAAAAUGAAGUGGAAUACCGAUACCCAGACAUUCCAUCAUUUUUGGAAUAUGUGCAUAAUCGUCAGGUUCAAUUUGGUUAACCUUUCAAUCAUGACAGUUUAUAAUAACCAAUGUAGUCAAGUUCUUUUCAAAUUUAUUUUAGUUUAUUCAAUAACUAGGUUACCUCUUGUUGCCCCAAAAAGAAAAGAGAAGGUUGCAUAUAUAUACAUGUAUGUUUGUUUCUAAUUUCUGUCCCAUUUAAGCUAUCUACAAACUUUUGAAGUUUAUAUAUGAAAGAAGAAAACACAGGUUUCCUUCUCAUGUGUGACUGUUAUUUGAAUUUCUUGUAGUGCGAACUAUAACGAUUUCUUGUAUAAUUUAUGUCAGUGAAUUAGUAGAUGCAAAUUAAAGAUGUUGAUCUUUUAGAAUCAAAAUGGAAAUUCAUUAAAGGAACCAAACAUACAGCCAAAAGGCAAGAUCUAAGAUGUCAGGUAAAUCAGCUUUAUCACAAAUAUGGUGACCCUUAAACAAACAACAAAAGUUCCCAAGUCAAUUGUCCUGUUUACACCUGUGAGGGGAUGCUCUUUUGUUUCUCUCGUUUCCAGAUGUCCAAAAAAGUAGCUAAAGAGAUGAGAUAAAAAACUGUCUUUUUGACUUGGCCACAGGAGACUACUCCGAUCCCACAGUUCAUCCUUCAAUGACCCACUGACGGCCAAAGCAAGUUAUAAGAAAUUUAUAUAUGUUGGUAGCUUGUCUGUGUAAUUGAUAAGUUAUUUAUUCAUUAAUUAUCUAAAAGAGGCUUUAGUACAGAUGUAUGCCUGCUUUAAAUUGGAGACUUUUCAUUACUAGGAGAACUAUGAUGGUCUUCUUUUUGGGUUCAAAUGGGUGUUCUACUUCAAUACCUUGAAGUC